rnacentral:rRNA from 1 species
GAUGAACGCUGGCGGCGUGCCUAAUACAUGCAAGUCGAGCGAACAGACGAGGAGCUUGCUCCUCUGACGUUAGCGGCGGACGGGUGAGUAACACGUGGAUAACCUACCUAUAAGACUGGGAUAACUUCGGGAAACCGGAGCUAAUACCGGAUAAUAUAUUGAACCGCAUGGUUCAAUAGUGAAAGACGGUUUUGCUGUCACUUAUAGAUGGAUCCGCGCCGCAUUAGCUAGUUGGUGAGGUAACGGCUUACCAAGGCAACGAUGCGUAGCCGACCUGAGAGGGUGAUCGGCCACACUGGAACUGAGACACGGUCCAGACUCCUACGGGAGGCAGCAGUAGGGAAUCUUCCGCAAUGGGCGAAAGCCCGACGGAGCAACGCCGCGUGAGUGAUGAAGGUCUUCGGAUCGUAAAACUCUGUUAUUAGGGAAGAACAAAUGUGUAAGUAACUAUGCACGUCUUGACGGUACCUAAUCAGAAAGCCACGGCUAACUACGUG